UUGGAGGGCAAGUCUGGUGCCAGCAGCCGCGGUAAUUCCAGCUCCAAUAGCGUAUAUUAAAGUUGUUGCAGUUAAAAAGCUCGUAGUUGAAUUUCGGGAUCAAUGUUUCGGUCAUGCCGUUGGUAUGUACUGAUAUUAUUGAUUUCUCACCUUCUAAAGAACCGUAAUGCCAUUAAUUUGGUGUCACGGGGAAUUAGGACUGUUACCUUGAAAAAAUUAGAGUGUUUAAAGCAGGCUCACGCUUGAAUACAUUAGCAUGGAAUAAUGAAAUAGGACAUCCGAUUCUAUUUUGUUGGUUUCUAGGAUCGAUGUAAUGAUUAAUAGGGAUAGUUGGGGGCAUUAGUAUUCAAUUGUCAGAGGUGAAAUUCUUGGAUUUAUUGAAGACUAACUACUGCGAAAGCAUUUGCCAAGGAUGUUUUCAUUAAUCAAGAACGAAAGUUAGGGGAUCGAAGACGAUCAGAUACCGUCGUAGUCUUAACCAUAAACUAUGCCGACUAGGGAUCGGAUGAUGUUAAUUUUUUAAUGACUCAUUCGGCGCCUUACGGGAAACCAAAG
rnacentral:rRNA from 1 species